rnacentral:lncRNA from 1 species
CCGGGAGGUCCCGCGGGCAGCUCCCGGUCCUGGCCGGGGGUUCCCGUCCCGGCUUCGCGCCGUUGGGCUCCUCGGAGCUCGGGGCCGGGUCAGAGCUUGGUCUCCACGCCGAGGCCGCCGGCAGGAGGGGAGCGGUGCUGAGAGGCCGAGGUGGAAGUGUGACUUAGAAUGGUGGCGGCCCCGCCACUUGGAUGGCGUGGAAGUCGCUCACCGCUCGCAGUACUGCCACGAGCGCUGUGGCCGGGAUGUGGGGAAGGGCCGUGAUGGUUCUCAGAGAUAGCGAGGCCUGCGGUUCUCCUUACGGCGGGAUCGAAGGAGGAGAAGGGCUGACAAGGUCAAGCAGGGGCUGUGCAGGUGGACUACAGGGCAGCGUCAACGCAAGGACUGAGGAACCUGGCGUCCCUACGGAUUUGUUGCCUGUGUGUUCUAUACUUGCCAUGCCAUCAGCCAAGGUACCUUGAUGACACCCUUUCUGCAAUGCACCACAGCCCCUCGCCUGUAGCCGAUGCCUUGGGCUCCUCCUCCACCACUCUCCAGCACACACAGCUUCCUCGGUAUUUUCUGCUUAAUUUAUUUCAGCCUGCUGGCCAGACUGCUCUGACCAGCAGGGUUUUGCCCAGCAGCAUGGCCAUGGGGUCUCCUCCAGCACAUUCACCAGCAGCAUCUCUGUCUGGCUGCUGGUUCUCCCUCGUACAAGUUGUUGGAGCUUAUUUACCUUUCAGACUCUGCUUCAUUUGUCAAGCCCAGCUGAACGCGGCCCGUGGCAACUGAGAGAUGAGCAGAUGGACUGACGGACAGCAGAGCAACUGCAGGAGCCUCACUGCCCUCAGGACACAAAGCUAAAUCAGAGCAUUAGAGGUCCACUUGGCCUCAGGACUGGUGUAAAUAACCUCUACGUGAUGACUGUGCCAGGCAGAAAUAACAGUCUUGCAUCCUUCUGGGUGUGAUGGUGCAGAAGGUACGUUAUCGAUCGUGGUCCAAAUCUUGGCCAAAUACACAACAGAGGGAGUUGUCACAUUUCCAUCUUCGUUUUGUCAUCACAUCACCUUCACUCGCACACCCUCAGAAUAACACUUCUUGCUUAAUAUAUCUCUCAUCUUCCCUUUUCCACAGCCAUCCACCUGCACCAGCAACGGGGACUCAAAUGUCCCCGUUGUUUCUUGCUACCUUUCCUUUCAGCCCAUCCCAAGUGCCUCCUUUUGCCACUCUGCUUCUCCAGAGCCAUGCUCCCAAAGAAGCGUGCCUUUCCCUUUAUGUCAGGUGAGAGUGAUGUAAGCAUGACAUCAGCCCCUGCGCUUGCUGUUCCCAUCGCCUCAAUGCCUUUCCUGACUUCUCUUACACCUCCCAGGGUUUCCUUGAUCCCCACAGCAUCUUCCUCCUCCUCCUUCUCUUUUCUGCCUCUGGCUCUUUUACUUCCUUCUGCACUUUUGCUCUUCAGGGGGAUUUUCAGUGUUUGCGUCAUUUGGAUUUUCGCCCUUUAACUGACCUUUCCCUGGUUGAAUUUUCUCAACUGUUUUGUGCUUCCCAAUUAUUCUAAACACAUUCAUCAUAAUUUGAAAAGGUCAGAAGGAGCCCGCCUGGCUGAGGUAGCCCCUUCCAGAGCUUUCUGCCCUCGGCUCCCCCUGGACCCCAACCAUGACAAGUCUCCAGGCAGCACUGUGAUGCCCUGCCCUACCCUCUAGCCGCCCUGAGCAGCGGCGUGCCGGCACGUCCAGCCAGGCACAGUCACUGUCCCGAAUGCGAAAAUCCCAUGGACUCUCCCAAAGGCUUACAAAAGCCCUGAUGGGUGAAAGGUGUGCACGGUCCUGCUCACACGUGUGGGAACUGACGGAGGGCCUGACGGACAGCAGCAGCCCCAGCGCCCUAAGGUGUGUCGGAUGGCACAGCCUGUUCCAGGCAAUGCGCUGCACUCGGGCUGGGUACUGAGUGCCCGUUGGUCACCUGUGUCGGUUCCCGGUGCUGUGGCAGGUUGCUUCAUAGAGCAGCGCCGUCUGUACUAUUUCCUG